rnacentral:tRNA from 1 species
GGGCGGUUAGCUCAGCUGAUUAGAGCGACGCAUUUACACUGCGUAGGCCAUAGGUUUGAAUCCUAUACCGCCCACCA